GGCCUGGUGGUGUCGUGAUUAUAUGCUUGCACUGCUUUAGAUACUUAAAUGUUGCUUCAGCAGGAGUCCCUUGUUCGAUUCAAGGUCAGGCCA